CAGUCGCCACGGGAAUGCGAAGGGGGCUAGUGUUGUUCGGAUUUACUGGGCGUAAAGGGCGCGUAGGCGGACUGAUAAGUCAGGGGUGAAAUCCCAAGGCUCAACCUUGGAACUGCCUUUGAUACUGUUUGUCUUGAGUUCGAGAGAGGUAAGUGGAACUGCGAGUGUAGAGGUGAAAUUCGUAGAUAUUCGCAAGAACACCAGUGGCGAAGGCGGCGACCUGGUCCUUGACUGACGCUGAGGCGCGAAAGCGUGGGGAGCAAACAGGAUUAGAUACCCCCGUAGUCCCUGUCUCUUAUAC
rnacentral:rRNA from 1 species